GCCCGGAUGGUGAAAUUGGUAGACACGCUAGUUUCAGGGACUAGUGAUCGCAAGGUUGUGCAAGUUCGAGUCUUGUUCCGGGCA
rnacentral:tRNA from 1 species